ACAUUAGCAACCCAUUGAGGAUAAGAAGUAACCGCCAGAAAACCAGCAUCGAAUUGUUUCAUGACUUCGGCCUUGAUUUUCUCGGACAUUUCAGGACGCAUGCGACGAACCUUUUGCUUAACAGGACGACAAUCUUCCUUCGUCGGCAAACGAUGCACUACUAUAUCGGUAUCCAGCCCUGGCAUGUCUUCGUAAGACCAAGCAAAAAUCUCCACAUAGUCAUGUAGCAUUUGAAUCAAUCUUCUUUUGACACUGAUUUCCAAGCCUGCUCCUAUUUUGACUUCUCUCUUGUCCACCUCGGUACCCAGAUUUACAGUCUCAACUGACUCCUCAUGCGGCUGUAUAGUCCUUUCUUCUUGUAGUAAC
rnacentral:lncRNA from 1 species